ACUAUAUCUUGAAAGCAAAGACAAACUUCAACAACUAAGAAAAUUCAUAGCUUAGUGCAAAUAUAUUCUCCUCAAUUUAUUUUAGGGAGAAAGAACCCUACUGUGUGUAUAUAAAAUUAUAAAUAAAUUGAUAUACAUUAUGCCUAUAUAUCACACAGGAUCACUUGUUCAUAAAGAAAGGCUUUUCCAACCGGUUAAUGCGGAAAGGAAAGAAAUUAGCAGUUCUAGUGGGAUGCGAUUAUCCAAAUGGUUUGGAUUUGACAGAUGAAGAUGGAAGUUCAGGGAUGCCUACCGGUGCCAACAUCAUGAAGGCAUUAAAUUAAAUGGCGGAUUAGGCAGAGUCCAGUGAGAUACUAUUCUUCCACUAUUCGGGCCAUGGAACAUUGAUAAAUACAUGAAAUUUGCCGAAAAAAGAGGAAGCCAUUGUUCUGUGUGAUUUCAAAUUUAUAACUAGUAAGUUCUGCAUUGUUUUCUAAUCAAGAAACUGUAAAUAGUUGAGCCUGAACACGACACCACCUCUAGCCCAUAAAAAAGUCGAGAACAUAUUUGUUGGGCAGUAAUAUUAUUUUACACCUAACUAUUUUCCACAAAAUGAAUGUGUUUGGUGGUAGUUAUUAUCUAUUGUUGACCAUUAUCAUAAAAUUAGUCCGAGG
rnacentral:lncRNA from 1 species